UUGAUUUUUACAAUAUAUUUAAUUCGAUUUUUUUCUUACAAAACAAUUCCCUCAUAAACCAGAACACACAAAAUGCAUAAAGAAAACUGUACAGUCAGUUUUGUCAUGUCUGAACGUGUUCUAAACAUGAACAAUGUUAUCUACAACAGUGGUUCCUAUCAAUGUCUAUCACACCAAGCGGUUCAGCUCUGCAGCCCCUUGCUUCAGGGUUAAAGGAGAGGUACGGAAAUAGUCAUGUGACACUGAAGGUAGACCCAAACAAACAACGUGAGCUAGCCAAUAAUGUAGUUCUAUCAGCAAGCACAGGUGCAGUCUCUUUGCUCUUGCUCUCCUUGGCUCUAGCAGCGAUGUCUUACUGCUGAAUCGACCUUAAGAGAGAAGCUGACAGAUGUGACAAUGAGAGGGCAGAAAAGUGACUUUUUCACAAGCAACGGUAAACUGUAUGUGACUGUGAAAGAUCACUGAGAGGUCAAUGGUAAUCAUGUUGAAGAUCUAUUUUCAUUACAUGCAUGUCUCUGAGCUGUUGAACACUGUCGGUUACUCGUUUAGGGCCAUCAGGGACUUUGGAUGGGGUAGUGACUUUAGGAAACUUCAGAGCCUGAAUCUUCUUUUUUUCAUUUAGACAGAAAACUAGAUUACCAAUUUAACAAGUUUCCAUUCACAUAGCUUAGAUGUAUCGCAGAUAUAUAUUUCUGUCCUCAGUGCAACAGUGGUCUAGGAAACAUUGAGUCUUUGCCUUCAAAAAGACCAUCAUGCCAGAAAGGUUUUCGUGGCAGAUUAGCAGCAAAUACCGAAGUCACAAACAAGAACGACAAAUCUGCUUCACUCCUGUGUUUACUUUUUCUUUUCUUGCACAGCUUGGUUUCUACCCUACACAUUGCAUCCCAUUGGGGAGUUACAGGCACAACUACAUAUUAGGAGAAGAUGAUUAAUAUUUAAUUUAGGUUGCUGUUUGUGGGGAGGGGAAACACACACAAGCAGAUACAGUAAACUCCAUUCACAAGACUCCAGUUGGAUUUACAGUGGUUUGUUUCUCCUAGAGUACUCACGUGAAGCGUGUUAAAGCUGGACUUUGACAUCGUGAUCUGUGGAGAUAAAUACAACUUUAAUCUCACUUCUUUCAAGCAUGUUUGACCCGCCAAAAAAUGGUCAGCAACUGCAAAAUCCCAAAGGCUGUGAGUAUUUGUGCUGUGAUGCUGAAGUACAUCCCAGAUUCUAUUUUACUUCAAAGGCAAGUUCACACUGAGGCUCACGCAAGAACAUUUUCAGUUUGGUUGGAUUCACUAAACUCUCUUAAGUAUACAAAUGUGUCGAGUUUAAGGACUGAACAUGCUGUACUAAAAUGUGCCUCAAUUCUAACAG
ensembl:lncRNA